UACAGAGGUCUCAAGCGUUGUUCGGAUUCAUUGGGCGUAAAGGGUGCGUAGGUGGCAUGGUAAGUCGGAUGUGAAAUCCCGGGGCUCAACCCCGGAACUGCAUUCGAUACUGCUGAGCUAGAGUACUGGAGAGGAGAUUGGAAUUUACGGUGUAGCAGUGAAAUGCGUAGAUAUCGUAAGGAAGACCAGUGGCGAAGGCGGAUCUCUGGACAGUUACUGACACUGAGGCACGAAGGCCAGGGGGAGCAAAACGGGG
rnacentral:rRNA from 1 species